rnacentral:rRNA from 1 species
UUUAAUUUUGAACGAGUGGCGGACGGGUGAGUAACACGUGGGUAACCUGCCCUUAAGUGGGGGAUAACAUUUGGAAACAGAUGCUAAUACCGCAUAAAUCCAAGAACCGCAUGGUUCUUGGCUGAAAGAUGGCGUAAGCUAUCGCUUUUGGAUGGACCCGCGGCGUAUUAGCUAGUUGGUGAGGUAACGGCUCACCAAGGCAAUGAUACGUAGCCGAACUGAGAGGUUGAUCGGCCACAUUGGGACUGAGACACGGCCCAAACUCCUACGGGAGGCAGCAGUAGGGAAUCUUCCACAAUGGACGCAAGUCUGAUGGAGCAACGCCGCGUGAGUGAAGAAGGCUUUCGGGUCGUAAAACUCUGUUGUUGGAGAAGAAUGGUCGGCAGAGUAACUGUUGUCGGCGUGACGGUAUCCAACCAGAAAGCCACGGCUAACUACGUGCCAGCAGCCGCGGUAAUACGUAGGUGGCAAGCGUUAUCCGGAUUUAUUGGGCGUAAAGCGAGCGCAGGCGGUUUUUUAAGUCUGAUGUGAAAGCCCUCGGCUUAACCGAG